rnacentral:snoRNA from 1 species
CCCACCAUAGCAUCUGACCCUUCUCUGUUGCCUGGAGCAAUAGUGGUGAGUUGAGGCCGACCCCCAGUUUAGGAAACAGUGUUGUUCUUCAGGUGGAUGACUGAAAGCAUGGGGAGAGCC